AUUUAUAUAGUUUAAUAAAACAUUACACUUUCAUUGUAAAAAUAAAGGGAAACUUUUAUAAAUA
rnacentral:tRNA from 2 species